rfam:Picea glauca, whole genome shotgun sequence.
GAGUUUGAUCCUGGCUCAGAACGAGCUCUAGAUAUAUGCUUAACACAUGCAAGUUGAAUGUGGUUUGCUUCCCCAUCCAUCCACAUGGGGGCAGAAGGGCAAGAGGAAUGCCCCCCUACUAGCACGUGCUCACUCACUCAAAUGAUAUGUAAGUGGUGCGCCGGGCAUGGGGCACAACAAGCAUAGUGGCGAACGGGUGCGUAACACGUGGGAAUCUGUCGAACAAUUCACUCCAAAUGCUGAAUAAUUCAUAAAGCAAGCUAAUUCACGUUAUUCAAUGAGCCCGCGUAGUAUCGGGUAGUUGGUUAGGUAAAGGAUGACCAAGCAAAUGAUGCUUAGCUGGUCUUUUCGGAUGAGCAACCACACUGGCACUGAGACAUGGUCCAGACUCCCUCGCGGGGCAACAGUGGGGAAUACUGGACAAUGGGCUCACGCCUGAUCCAACAAUAUUGCGUGGGUGAAGAAGGGCAUUGUCGCUUGUCAAGCUCUUUUGGUCGAGUUUCGAUCAUAACAUGAAUCGAGGAAGAAGCCUUGGAUAACUCCGUGCCAACAACCGCGGUAAGACGGGGUGGGGGGGGCAAGUGUUAUUUAGAAUGACUGGGUGUAAAGGGCACGUAGGCGGUGAAAAGGGUGGAAAGUGAAAGUUGCCAAAGCAAGGGAGGGGUGCUUUCUUGACCAUUUCACUUGAGUGAGAUAGGGGAGAGUGGAAUUUCGUGUGGAGGGAUCAAAUCAAGAGUAACCUAUGAUCACAGUUGUCCAUCCCCUGAUCAUUAGUCUAACCUACAUGUUGGUCAUC